CCCGUUUUUAAGGGAAUCUAAUCAUGAUCAGGGCCUUCUGUGAUAUCAAACCUGAUGGUUCUUGUUCUCAGCUGAGCUCUUAGCCUGUGCUCGGGUCCGUGCAUGUAGUUAAAGAGUGAGUUCACCAGCUAAUGAUCAAGAAGAAAGUUAGGACGAAUUAUAGUUGAAUUAUAUUCUUAGUGCGGCUUUGAUCAAUAUAUACACAAAAUGUGGG
rnacentral:lncRNA from 1 species